rnacentral:rRNA from 1 species
UACGAAGGGGGCUAGCGUUGCUCGGAAUCACUGGGCGUAAAGGGUGCGUAGGCGGGUCUUUAAGUCAGGGGUGAAAUCCUGGAGCUCAACUCCAGAACUGCCUUUGAUACUGAAGAUCUUGAGUUCGGGAGAGGUUAGUGGAACUGCGAGUGUAGAGGUGAAAUUCGUAGAUAUUCGCAAGAACACCAGUGGCGAAGGCGGCUCACUGGCCCGAUACUGACGCUGAGGCACGAAAGCGUGGGGAGCAAACAGG